CUUGAAUACAUGUAGGGUUUUUUUCCUAUGACAUAUUCUGAAUCUGUACUCCUCAGCCUCUCUCUCUCUCUCUCUCUCUCUCUCUCUCUCCCUCCCUCCCUACCCUCUCUCUCUCUCUCUCUCUCUCUCUCUCUCUCUCUCUCUCUCCUCCGGAGCUUAUCUCGGUGCGCAUCGUCAGCAUCAGUUUGAAGUCAAAUCUGUCAGCUGCUGCUUUGCCCGCUUCCCUUUUUUUUUUUCCUCGUCUCUUUCGCUCUCCGCUGGCGAUCCCGCCUCGUUUAACAGUUCAGUCGGGACUGUGGGAGCGCGUCCGGUCGCUGCCUUCAACUUGGGCUGAAGAAAGAAAGAGGAAACUCCUCGGGAUUCUCCGUACACCGAGCUCUGAUCCGGAUUUUCUGGUGAGCAAAGACUUUGGCCCGAAUUGCCGCUCGGUCGCUUUGAAUCUCUCGCGUUUGGCACACGGGCAUGUAAAAAGUAGGACUCGGUGCUGAUUUAAAAAAACGGGCGGUGUCUAAUUAACCUGGCCACUUCAGUCUCUCCCUUUUUGUAAAUGAUCCACUUAGGAGGGGGUUUCAGGAAUUGUUUUCUGAUGCCAGGAGCUGGGAACAGGCAGCGUGGCUGCGCAGCUCCGCCGCUGCUCUCUUUCACAAAAUUGUUGCCCCAUGGCUGCGAACUUCUCGCUUAUUAUGCACGGG
rnacentral:lncRNA from 1 species